CCUACGGGUGGCAGCAGGGAGGAAUAUUGGUCAAUGGGCGCGAGCCGGAACCAGCCAAGUAGCGUGAAGGAUGACUGCCCUACGGGGGGUAAACUUCUUUUAUAAAGGAAGAAAGUGAGGCACGUGUGCCUUUUUGUAUGUACUUUAUGAAUAAGGAUCGGCUAACUCCGUGCCAGCAGCCGCGGUAAUACGGAGGAUCCGAGCGUUAUCCGGAUUUAUUGGGUUUAAAGGGAGCGUAGAUGGGUUGUUAAGUCAGUUGUGAAAGUUUGCGGCUCAACCGUAAAAUUUCAAUUGAUACUGGCAGUCUUUAGUCCAGUUGAGGUAGGCGUAAUUCGUGGUGUAGCGGUGUAAUGCUUCGAUAUCCC
rnacentral:rRNA from 1 species